rnacentral:lncRNA from 1 species
GAGCUCUUUGUCACGAAGUGUCGUGGUUAAGGCUGUUUCCAGUAAGUCAGCCAUUGCAUCCUCCGGAUUGGAGGGUUUGGCCUUUUGAAUCUUAGUCAUAUACUGAGGUAUCAGCUGACUAGUCAAGUUUGCCAACACUGUGUGUAUGUCCCUCAGGGGGUCUCCCUGGCUGGACUCUUUUGUGUUAGGCAUGUUUGGUUUUGGUAAAGAGGUGCAGCUGGUUGGUUGAUGAGUUUGAGUUGACUUAAAAUAAAAGGAAGAAGCAAAAUAUCAAACUAAGUGGGUUAAUCGACUUAAUUUAUCAGUGCUUGAUAAAGAGAAAGAGCCUAUCUGAGUAGAUCUCUAAUGGAGAGAAAAAUAACAUAAAGUUAAAUUCAUUUCAAUGAAAAUUGAAAACAAAAGGUGAAAUAAUGUUAAAUUAAAUUUAACAUCAGAUACAGAACCAUUGAAUAAAGGGUUCAAAUUGUCUCUGUGUUGCAGAGAUCAGCAAAGCUUAAAUAAAAUGCCUGAUGCAGUUGGAUGAAUUUGAAAAAUCAAUGAAAUUGUCAAUUUAAGGAAUUAACUCUGAAGUCAAUUCACAAAUUGCAAUAAAUCCAAAGGUUCAACUACCAAAUCCAUCUGGAGUGUUAAAAGAAAUUUCAAAUAUUAAUUAAUUUGUUCAUUAAUUAAUUAAUCUUAUGAGGAGGGUUAAUACAUUCAUGUAUUAUAGGGAACAGUAAAACUGCUCAAUGGUGUGAUAAGUAACAACAGGAUCAGGUGAUUGAUUCAAGGAGUUACUUCAUCAAUACCUUAUGGAGGCUCUUAUAACAAAGAUAAAAAUCAAAAAUCAAUGAUCAAUGAUUUAGAAUAAGCACAUCAAACUUCAUCAACCAAGUCAAUCACUUGAAUUAUGUCUGUAGAGUGUUACACACUGACUACAGGGAGGCAGUACAGCUGGCUGAUACUGCAGGCAGAUAAUAGCAGUGUUAGCUCAAUACCAAAAGCAACCAUGUGGGGCAGUAUGGAGUUGGGGUAACUGCACAAGCUCAACACAAGUGGAGAAGAAGAAGAAAAGAGGAAACAGUCAUCCAACUAGCCUCUUGUGGCUGUGAGGAGUUGGGAAGUGUGCAAGGAAGGGGCCUUUAGGCUCUGCCUCCUUGAAGGGCCUUAUCUGCUUAAGGCCAAAUGGUCAAUCUCUCCACUGACAACAAAGGGUUAACAUUUCACAGCAGGCUGCGUCUGCACCCUCAAACAUAGAACUUUACACCAUCUGCUCAGGCCGAUUGGUUCAAUAAAAUCAUUUACAGGAACAAGGAUCAAAGUGGCAAAUCCUUAAACAGCAGAUUCAACUGCAGACUUAAAAAAAAUCACAAAUGCGGCGAUUUGUGAUCACGGAUUUUGUCUGAAUUCAUUCAAACAACAGCCUCCCACUGUUACAGUGGUUUCCUGUGACAGGUAGUUAAUCUGUCAGGGGAAAGGAGGAAAUCUGAAUCCCAUACUGUAUAGUUACUAGAACUUCGUAGCAGACGAUAGAGACAAGAAUCAAAGUGACAAAUCCCUCAACAGCAGAUUCAACUGCAGACUUUAAAAUCACAAAUGUGGCGAUUUGUGAUCACAAAUUUUGUCUGAAUUCAAUCAAACAACAACCUCCCACUGUUACAGUGGUUUCCUGUGACAGGUAGCUAAUCUGUCAGGGGAAAGGAGGAAAUCUGAAUCCCAUAUAGUUACUAGAACCUCGUAGCAGACUACAGAGACUUCAGGGGCUUGAAACCACAGCUCGGAGCAUCGCGAACACUGGGUUCAGCCAAAGGCCUUAAAUACAAGCGUACGGCGACGCAACAAUCGUGCACUUAAAUAUUGGACAGUCUAGACAGAGCAGAGGAGUCAGUCUCACUGCUACUCAGAACAACAUUUCACGCUGUCCAGCUCAAACACAGACUACAGGCAUGUAGUACAAAAGUGUGUGAAACACAGAGCAUAAAGGUUUUAUGCAUAGAUCAGGAAAACAUCAGAACUUAGUCAAGCAACUUCAGCAAGCAUAGCAUUGAUUGUGAUUAAGUCUAAAAUAGCCUGGAAAUAAGUUUCUCUCAUCAAUUUGGAAGGCUAAGUUUUAGGUUGUCUGUUAGUAUCCAGAAGUUUUGUUUGAAACGCCUCACACGGGGCACCAAAAUAUAUGUAGUGAUUUGAAAUGAGCCUCACAAGGCCGCACCAAAAUAUAUGUAGCGAUUUGAAAUGAGCCUCACAAGGCCGCACCAAAAUAAUACUUGGCGAUUGGAAUUUAUAAUAAAUGUCUGAAGAUUAAUAAUCUCAAAUUAUGACAUUUAUGCACUCGUUGAAAGGGGCACCACCCACCCUUAAUGGUGGGAAAAUAAAGAAAACAAAAGUUUAAUUCAGAAAUCAAACAUCAAGUCAGUUUUAAUUAAUCAGUCUUAAUUAAUCAGUCUUAAUUAAUCAGUCUCAUAUCUUAAGUCGAAAUUCUAAUUUCAGGGACUCCACUUCUGGAAGAACACUAACAGACAGGAACUUAGAAAAAUAAUGAUCUGUUUAUUACAGGAUAAAUGAUGGUACAACACACAUGCAAUAAAUGAUGAUAAGAUAAUGAAGAUAGAUAAUAAUAGGUGAAUAAAUAAAGAUUCUGAGUCAGGCUAGGAGCACUAAAGUUAAUGAUAGUGAGUGAAUAUGCGCUAACAUAUUAACCUACACUAACUUUGGUGUCGAGAUAAACUCGAGUGUAGAUUUGGAGGAAUCUAAGAUCACCAGAAAUAGGUGGAUAUCUGAGUUAUGAACGCGUGAGACAGCAUCAGCCCUGUCUGGAGCUCUGGAGGUUUGCAUACUUAAGUGAGACUGGUCCUUGGAGAAGAUGGAGCAGGUUCCGAAGGUCCGGGGCUACUGGCGGUUCGAGCGGUUCAGCUCAGAAGACGACUGAAGUCAGCCGAAGGAUGAGCCAGGAGUUGCAGCACUCGGGCCCGAAGCAAAGCCAGCGCCUGUGGAUCCUGUGGAUGCUCGUUUGGGUACUUCUUUGGUCUCACUCAAAAACUCUGGCACAGAGGAUGACCUGGGCCUGCUGGGUUGCGUUCAGAGGUGACUUUUAAAUCACGCAGAAAACUCAGAAAAACGAGGCUCGAAGAGCAGAGAAAACUUUCAAAAAUGGCUUUGCAAAAUUAAAGAAAAAUCAAUCAAAGGCUUAAUCUUGAAUUGCUAUGCGCACAAAAAGUUGAAGUUUCAAAACUUGAACUAAGACGAUGUUAAAGAAAAAUCAACGUGAAUCAACACGUGGCGUAAAACUUAGAAGACUAAGAAAAAGUUCUAAGAGAAAACAAAGAAACGCACCACAGAAGGGUGUGGACAGAAGAAAAGGGGCAUAAGAGCCGGGGACAAGAGAGUCAGCAGAAGAGCAGAAGCAUAAGAGAGGACAAGAGCAUAAGAGGAAUAAGAGAGAAUAAGCGAGUGAGCAACCCCACUUCACUGGUUUUAUCUUCUCACACUGGGUGUGUCUGAGGAGAAAGAGGAGGGGUCAUCGGGUCUCUGAUUAUUUGAUCUAACUUAUUCUUUUGGCUGGUAAAAGAGUCAGAUCUGAUACUCACUCACUAUGAUUAAUAUCAUUGAAUGCUUGGUUUCAUGAUAAAUAAUUUGAUACUAAACACAUAUGAAUGAAGUGUAGGAUCACAUCAAACAUUCUCAUUAUGUUUUAAGUAUCACAUUGAACAUGCUAAAUUACUCUGAAAUGAAACAGAUAGUAACACAUAGAAACUGUGAACGACAAAAGAGUAAACACAUGUGAAUGAACGUCAUCAUGAUUAAUAAUGGAUUCUAAAUACUCACAUUCAGAUUAUUCAGUGACAUUAUAACCACCUAAUGGUUAAGAUACUAAAUAAAUAACUAAAAUAUAAACCAAACAUUUCUAAACUAUUUCUGUUACUUAGAGUAAACUUAGGAUUCAUAGUCAAUAAAUUUAACUCUUAAAAGUUCAUGAAACAGUCUGAAAAGCUGUUGGUCUAAAGAACUAAAGAAUAAGGAUUUAUUCUGUCAGAUAAGAUAACUUGGCUUCUGUAGCACAUAGAAAAACGGGAAACAUCUCAUUUUAACACAAAUUUCAUGAUUAGACAGAUUAGUACAUUGCUGAAUGCAUAAGAUGUCAUGAUCAGUCAUUUGUAUUCUUUCACCAAAGGAAUGCAGUCUUUAUCAGUGUAUGGUCGAGCAGGGUUUUACGACCGAGGUCUGGAGGUCAGUGUCCCCCCUUAUCCUGGGGUCCGUAUGUUCACACACUUUAAGACGCUUAAUCUCAAAUGGGAGAUCUGGGUUAAGGUUAAUGUUUAUUUAGAUGGUCAGCAAAUGGAGUCAGUUUGAAAGGUAAUAAAAACUCUGUCUCUGUUCGCCGAACUGACCAAUCCUGAAGAGUCAGAGGUUUAGUCAACCUCCGGUUGGGUCACUUAUUUAACCUGAAAGGGCAAACACGUCUGGAAAGAUUUAUAUCCUGUUUCCUGGGACCAGAUAAGGAAACUUUCCUGUAAGGAAUGUGUGGGUUUCACAUCCAGGGUUGUCUUGAUUGCUACAGUCCCCCCUUCGUCACGGUGGUCCUGUCCAUGGAGCAUCGGGACGACGAGUAGACAACCAUGAAGCAGCAGCAGGUGUAUGCAAAUAGGACUGAUGCGUCUCGUCAUCACUAUGUGAAUCACUAGUACUGCUUUGAGAUAAAAUUAAGCAUGCAUUAAGCUAUCAAAUAAAAUAGUCUUGUUGUUAGACUUUUCUCAGUUAACUAUUGGUAGACUAAUGUGAAAGAAAAUCUCCUAAUUUUCAGUAUUAAUGAGAUUUAGGAAAGCACUAUUUAGUCUGAAUGCUAACUGGAUCUAAAGCUAUAGCUGUUUUUCAUGCUUGCUGGAGAAGUCUGAAAGUUCCAUUUCAGUUUCAAAAAUGGUUAAGACUUAGGUGGAAAAGAAAUGUCUGCUAUAGACAUAUUAACCAUCUGUGUAUGAGCAUAGUCAACCUGAAUCACAAACAUCAAAAGUUUACUGCACAGAGUUUCUCUUAAACUUUGUCUGUUAAACUUGGGGAUGAUGCUCUUAUUGGUUUGACUAAUUAUCUGCUGUUGAGUCUGAAAUUUGUCAAUCUGAGUCUUAGUGACAGAAAUUUCAGGUUUUCAUCUGUUCAUGGGAUAUUUGACAGCUGACAAGCUGACCAUAUUGACAGAGGAGAGACAAAUGCUAACAAAGAAAGCAGCAACUGGUAUUGCAGUCAUCAAUGUAUCACCACAGCAUUUGGAUAUCUUAUUGGAGUCAUUUAGCUUUGGCUGGGUGACUUCUGCUUUCGCAGGACUCACACCUUCAUGACUCCGCAGUGUUAAUCUCAGUGGUUAGCUGAGUAGUCAUGUUUAUUCACCUUCAAAGUGGAUGAAACCGAUUGAGGUGGAUAAUAAGAUCGUCGUUUCUGAGAGUGUGAUUUACUCUGAUUCUGCCAGUCAUUCACCCCACUUUGGCGGUGUUGAUGGUUUUUCCUUUGUCUGGGACAAAACCCACCGUGACGGGAGUCUGAAUAACAACAGUUGGUCUCAAAGUUUACCUGGCGUUGGUCUGUGUCAGAACUGGGCCUUGGUGUGUAACUUUGACCUUUGUGAGUGUGUUGAGGUCGAAAAGGUUUUGGAGGCCUGGUUAACCACUCAUUUGGAGGCUUAUCGGAGCCUGAAAAAACACAGUCUGAAGCUUCGUUCAGCUCCAUGGGCAGUGAUUUUGUCCCCAUAGCCAAGAGAGUAACGGGCUCUGCUUUCUUAGCCAAAGUUUGUCGUUGUUUGGCAAAACCUUUUACAGCAAGUUCACGAAGCUGUCGGCUAGUCAAAGUGUUUGGACAAGCUAAGACGCCAAGGUGAUGACUGGUGGUAGGGUGGAGGUUCUGGACGAACAGCGUUUUGAAGUUCAAGUCCUCCUCCAUUUCUGGUUCAUUUCGGAAACCAAAGUAAGCUUCGCGUAAGCGGUUGUAAUACUGUUGGGGAGAUUCUGAUCUCCCUUGUUUAAUAGACAGAGCAGCAGAGAGGCCUGUCUGGGUCAAAUAGUCAGAAAACUCUUCGAUUAAUGCUUGGCAGAGCAAGUCAUAAUUAUUUCUGACAUGAUAAGGCUGUCGUUCAAGGAAACUGCUAACCUCUCGACUUGACGUCGCCUUAAUAAGGUAGAUUUUGUCAUCAAUGGUUGCACCUGGAAAUUUCCUCAGGUAAAAGUCAAUGUCUUUCAAGUAGGUGCAGGUGUCAAUAGCACCUUGGUGCUCAGGUUCAAAGCGUGCUAUGAUGCGAGCAAUUUUGUCAAGAUCCCUGUCUGAGGGAAAUGGUAAGAAGCCAUCAUGAGGAGGAGAGUAGGACUCUUGGUUUAAGGAUAACCUCUCAGGGUCAAGCAGGGUCCUGUCAUGAUGCUGAGAGAGAUACUUAAGAGUUGGUUUGGAAGGAAGUGAUGGCGCUCUCUCAGGAGGCUGAUCACCUAUCAUUUCUUCAAGAAACGUUUGCUUCAUGCGUUCUCUUUGGGCUCGACCUGACUGGAGGGAGCAUCGUAACUCUCUUUGGGCAUCUUCAAGUUCUUUAUCUGUCUUUUCUUGCCGUUCUUGACAAAGAAUUAACUGUCUUUGAGCUAUCUGGAGCUGGUGCUGUAAGGUAGAAGUUUGCUUCUCCUUAACUUCAAGAGCUUCAGCACGCACUUUGACCAGUGCUUUCAAAGCUUUUACAUCUUCUGUUGCUUGCUCUAGUAGGGAUUCUGACUGUAUCAGAUCCUCUGUGGUCUUAGCAAGCUGCUUAUUCAUGUCAUCAAGUUCUUUCUCCUUUUUGUAAAGGGUUUCAUUAAGUCUUUCAAUCUUGUCUUUAAGAUCAAGAUUUUCUUCAUGACUUAUCAGUGAGGGAAGCUUUGACGCUUCACAUCUGGCACUGUGUUUUUCUAAAACACUUAAAGACUUCUUAGUCUCCUCUAGCGUCUUUUUCAGAGCGCUGUUUUCAUCUUUUUGCGCCUUUAUCUUUGCUAAAGCGCAUUCCAGCAAGUAGUCUUUAUACUCAAGCUGAGAAGACAUCAUGACAGACAUGCAUCUAGUGAGCUCUUUGUCACGAAGUGUCGUGGUUAAGGCUGUUUCCAGUAAGUCAGCCAUUUCAUCCUCCGGAUUGGAGGGUUUGGCCUUUUGAAUCUUAGUCAUGUACUGAGGUAUCAACUGACUAGUCAAGUUUGCCAACACUGUGUGUAUGUCCCUCAGGGGGUCUCCCUGGCUGGACUCUUUUGUGUUAGGCAUGUUUGGUUUUGGUAAAGAGGUGCAGCUGGUUGGUUGAUGAGUUUGAGUUGACUUAAAAUAAAAGGAAGAAGCAAAAUAUCAAACUAAGUGGGUUAAUCGACUUAAUUUAUCAGUGCUUGAUAAAGAGAAAGAGCCUAUCUGAGUAGAUCUCUAAUGGAGAGAAAAAUAACAUAAAGUUAAAUUCAUUUCAAUGAAAAUUGAAAACAAAAGGUG